CCUACGGGAGGCAGCAGUGAGGAAUAUUGGUCAAUGGACGAGAGUCUGAACCAGCCAAGUAGCGUGAAGGAUGACUGCCCUAUGGGUUGUAAACUUCUUUUAUAUGGGAAUAAAACAGGGUAUGCAUACCCUCUUGUAUGUACCAUAUGAAUAAGGAUCGGCUAACUCCGUGCCAGCAGCCGCGGUAAUACGGAGGAUCCGAGCGUUAUCCGGAUUUAUUGGGUUUAAAGGGAGCGUAGGUGGCUUGUUAAGUCAGUUGUGAAAGGUUGCGGCUCAACCGUAGAAUUGCAGUUGAAACUGGCAGUCUUGAGUACAGUAGAGGUGGGCGGAAUUCGUGGUGUAGCGGUGAAAUGCUUAGAUAGCACGAAGAACUCCGAUUGCGAAGGCAGCUUACUGGACUGCAACUGACGCUGAGGCUCGAAAGUGUGGGUAUCGAACAGGAUUAGAUACCCGAGUAGUC
rnacentral:rRNA from 1 species